GUAGGUGGCAAGCGUUGUCCGGAAUUAUUGGGCGUAAAGCGCGCGCGGGCGGUUCUUUAAGUCUGAUGUGAAAGCCCACGGCUCAACCGUGGAGGGUCAUUGGAAACUGGAGAACUUGAGUACAGAAGAGGAAAGCGGAAUUCCACGUGUAGCGGUGAAAUGCGUAGAGAUGUGGAGGAACACCAGUGGCGAAGGCGGCUUUCUGGUCUGUAACUGACGCUGAGGCGCGAAAGCGUGGGGAGCAAACAGGGAUUAGAUACCCUGGUAGUCCACGCCGUAAACGAUGAGUGCUAAGUGUUAGGGGGUUUCCGCCCCCUUAGUGCUGCAGCUAACGCAUUAAGCACUCCGCCUGGGGAGUACGGCCGCAAGGCUG
rnacentral:rRNA from 1 species